AUUGAACGCUGGCGGCAGGCCUAACACAUGCAAGUCGAGCGGCGCGGCGUACGGGUGAGUAAUGCCUAGGAAUCUGCCUGGUAGUGGGGGAUAACGUCCGGAAACGGGCGCUAAUCCCGCAUACUAUCUGAUGAGCCUAGGUCGGAUUAGCUAGUUGGUGGGGUAAAGGCCUACCAAGGCGACGAUCCGUAACUGGUCUGAGAGGAUGAUCAGUCACACUGGAACUGGGAAGCGGUCCAGACUCCUACGGGAGGCAGCAGUGGGGAAUAUUGGACAAUGGGAGAAAGCCUGAUCCAGCCACGCCGCGUGAGUGAUGACGGCCUUCGGGUUGUAAAGCUCUGUUAAUCGGGACGCGGUACAGGAAUAGAAAGACACGGCUAACUACGUGCCAGCAGCCGCGGUAAUUC
rnacentral:rRNA from 1 species